GUUAAAAACUUUCAACAACGGAUCUCUUGGUUCUGGCAUCGAUGAAGAACGCAGCGAAAUGCGAUACGUAAUGUGAAUUGCAGAAUUUAGUGAAUCAUCGAAUCUUUGAACGCACAUUGCGCCCGCCAGUAUUCUGGCGGGCAUGCCUGUUCGAGCGUCAUUUCAACCCUUAAGCC
rnacentral:rRNA from 1 species